GCGGCCCCUGCCUACCUGGCCGUUCUCCUUCUAAUCUGGAGUGCAGGCAGGAUCUCACUAUGCUGCUCUGGAUGGCUGGGAAUUUGCUAUAUAGAUCAAUGAAGACCAGGCCACCUGUCUGCCUCUGCCUCCCAAGUGCUGGGAUUAAAGGCACGUGACACCCCACCCAACCACUCUAUUGUUCUUUACCUUCAGUUGCUAUGUUUGCUUGAAUAGUUUCCCCCAAAUUCAUGUAGACGUGGAGCCUCCGAUUGUGACUUGAUUUGGAAAUAGGACCUUGAUGGGUAUAUAGGAAGUUAAGUGAGGCCACAGGGGAUGUAGGUGGCCAUAAGCGAAUGUGACUGCUGUUCUUAUAUGAAGAGAGGAGAUUGGACUCAGACCAGAGAGACAGGAGAGUUGCUGUGCAAACCAAGGAGCCCCAAGCACUGCCAGUGUAAGACUCCGGGGAGCCUUAGCUUUCCGGGGACCCCCGAGUGAAUCACGCGGAGCCAGGAUAGGUGCAAAAAGCAAGAGGAAUUUAUUGUUCCAGUGCACUGGGGUCAACCCAGACCCGAACAAGAGGUGGCAACCCCAGCACCCAGUUGGCAAGUUUUUAUAUGGCUUCCAGGGGCAGAAUAGAGCAUCAGCAACUAGGCACAAGAUGAUUGGCGGAACAGUGCACCCUUUAAACUGAGUGGUCUUUAGGGAAUGAGGUGACAAGGACUUCCCUUGUCUGAAGGUGGACAACAGUCCGUCCUGAGGAAUGUGUCCCCACCCGCAGGUCAGUUCCCGCCCUGUGGUCUGAGAAAUGUUAAUUGGCCUCUCCCUUCUGUAGAGGCAAGUGUUCCAUGACCUUCCCAAAGUUCCUAAGCUGACCUUUUCACCAGCAAGCAGCCGAAUAGAGAGGGGACUCCGGGGAGUCUUCUGAAGGACCCGGCAGGCAGAAGGGGUGUCCUGUGUAGAAAGAUAAUGAAGCAAAACCCAGGUUUUCUUCAGUCUGUCCUUGAUCCGGAGCAGGAGGAUAGCAAGAGUAACAACUUGUCCCAGAGUUGGCCACCUUUGAAGCCACAUAGCCUGGAUAUUUCCCAUGCUCUCCAGUCUCAGCCACACCCAUGCUCUCCAGUCUCAGCCACACCCAUGCUCUCCAGUCUCAGCCACACCCAUGCUCUCCAGUCUCAGCCACACCCAUGCUCUCCAGUCUCAGCCACACCUUGAUCAGAGAGCUUUUU
rnacentral:lncRNA from 1 species